UGCCAGCAGCCGCGGUAAUACGGAGGGUGCAAGCGUUGUUCGGAAUCAUUGGGCGUAAAGCGCGUGUAGGCGGCUUGGCAAGUCGGUUGUGAAAUCCCGGGGCCCAACCCCGGAACUGCAAUCGAAACUGCCUCGCUAGAGUCCCGGAGAGGAAGGCAGAAUUCCCGGUGUAGAGGUGAAAUUCGUAGAUAUCGGGAGGAAUACCAGUGGCGAAGGCGGCCUUCUGGACGGUGACUGACGCUGAGACGCGAAAGCGUGGGGAGCAAACAGGAUUAGAUA
rnacentral:rRNA from 1 species